rnacentral:lncRNA from 1 species
CCUCACCCUCACCACCACCACCAUAUUAUUAUAAAUCUCCACCACCACCUAAACAUUCACCACCACCACCAUAUUACUACAAGUCACCACCUCCUCCCUCACCAUCACCACCUCCACCAUACUACUACAAGUCACCACCUCCACCUAAACAUUCACCACCCCCACCAUACUACUACAAGUCCCCACCUCCUCCCUCACCAUCACCACCUCCACCAUACUACUACAAGUCACCACCUCCACCUAAACAUUCACCACCCCCACCAUACUACUACAAGUCUCCACCUCCACCUAAACAUUCACCACCUCCACCUUAUUACUACAAGUCACCACCACCACCCUCACCAUCUCCUCCUCCUCCAUACUACUACAAGUCUCCACCUCCUCCUUCACCGUCUCCUCCAC